ACUGUAAUCAGCAGGAUUGCAUGACUCCUUGGAUAAUUAGUGAGAGGUCUUUUAGCAGGCCCAAACAAGGACCCAGGAAACUAAUACCUUCCAAGAAACUUCUUGUUCAUCUCCUAAAGAUUAUAUACCAGAACGAGGAGUGGCUGACCACGAGCAGAAACACCUGGCAACUGCCAUUGCAAGCUCCAGUAUGAUUGUGCCAGAAACGGACUGAAGGACCUGUUGGAAAACAACAACCAGUGUCAAGGAAAAGGGGGAAAAACCCCAAAAUCUGUGUAAAAGCCUCUGUCAACCUGGGCCUUUGGCAUGGGAAGAACAUACAAUGAGAAAUCAAUCCUGGACUUAGGAGGAUAGAAACACACUCUCCUUCAUUUCAGGAUGGGCCACCUCUCACUUGUUCCACCUCAGGUUUUUGAUGAAGCAGUCCAGACCAGUUUAGUUUCUGCCACCUGCUGAAGGCUCCAUAUUAGAGAGUCAGAAUUUGUAAGAAGAGAUCCUGCUUGUCUUAUUCUCUUAGGCUAUCAUGGCUUCAGAAAAGAUCCUACAAACAUCUGGGAGCCACUGUUGGCAGGGACGGCAGACUUAUCCUUCAGAAAGCUCUCACCACACUGUCUGGAGAGUGAUUGGACAUGCUUUGGCUUCUGCACAACCAUCCCAUGGAAGGAGACCGUGUAUAUUCCCAAAGCUUGAAACUGUACAGGGAGUUCUCUGGAAAGUAGAGACAAGAAAGGACUAAAAAAUGUGUGCAAGGAGUGUCUAAACACAGUAAUGGGAAAUGCAGAAAAUAUUCCCCAGUUGUUAGACUCUUCCCAUCAAAGACAUCAGAGAGUGAUCUGGACAACAGGUUGCUUCCUGCACACCUCAACUCCUCAGUUGCAGGCUCUCACUGAGAGGAUUCACUGGCUGAUUGUUCACAUGGGAAGGAAGAACGGAUGCAAGAGAGCAAGACUGGGAGAAACCAGAAGUUAAGACAAGGUCAAAGGAGAUGAAAUGGGUUGGAGUAAGGUGGAGAAGCGGAAAGUCUGCCAAAUAAACCCCCUGUAAGAAGAACACUUUUAA